rnacentral:tRNA from 1 species
GGGCAAGUAGUUCAAUCCGGUAGAACGCUCCGCUGGCAGCGGAGAGGCUGUGGGUUCAAAUCCCGCCUUGUCCA